AUUGUGAUAUAUGUAGAGAAGGUGUGUCAGUAACAAACACAGUCAAAGGAUCAUGCAUCAAGCUAUCAUGGGUGUGUUGCAAUGGUCAUAUUGCUUACCAGUGGUCAAGUCAACAUACAGUUAGGAAGGGUUUACAUCUUGGUGAUGUUAUGAUAGCAGCGGCAAUCUUCCUGACUGGAAACAACUAUGCUAAGAUAGCAUUGCUAGCAAAGUGUCUUGGCUUAGCAUUUAUCCACCAAGCCAGUUAUUACCGGUUACAGAGAAGAUACAUAGUCCCAGUCGUUACUGACUACUGGAAUGAGAUGGUGAGGAAUAUGUUGUCCACUCGUAAACACAUUAAUGUGACAAUCCUGGGUGAUGGUCGUAUGGAUAGUCCCGGACACUCUGCACAGUAUUGCACUUACACAUGCAUGGAUGAGCAAACCAAAGAGAUUUUGCUCAUACAAGUGGUUGACAAA